rnacentral:rRNA from 1 species
CCUACGGGUGUCAGCAGUGGGGAAUUUUGGGCAAUGGGCGCAAGCCUGACCCAGCAACGCCGCGUGAAGGAAGAAGGCUUUCGGGUUGUAAACUUCUUUUAAGAGGGAAGAGCAGAAGACGGUACCUCUUGAAUAAGCCACGGCUAACUACGUGCCAGCAGCCGCGGUAAUACGUAGGUGGCAAGCGUUGUCCGGAUUGAAUGGGUGGAAAGGGCGGGCAGUGGGGAAGUCAAGUCAGAUGUGAAAUCCGGCGGCUCAACCGCGGAACUGCAUUUGAAACUGUUUUUCUUGAGUCCCGGAGAGGUAAUCGGAAUUCCUUGUGUAGCGGUGAAAUGCGUAGAUAUAAGGAAGAACACCAGUGGCGAAGGCGGAUGACUGGACGGCAACUGACGCUGAGGCACGAAAGCGUGGGGAGCAAACAGGAUUAGAUACCCUGGUAGUC